GACGUAGGGCGCGAGCGUUGUCCGGAUUUAUUGGGCGUAAAGAGCUCGUAGGCGGUUUGUCACGUCUGCUGUGAAAAACUGGAGGCUCAACCUCCAGCCUGCAGUGGGUACGGGGCAGACUAGAGUGCGGUAGGGGGAGAUUGGAAUUCCUGGUGUAGCGGUGGAAUGCGCAGAUAUCAGGAGGAACACCGAUGCGAAGGCAGAUCUCUGGGCCGUAACUGACGCUGAGGAGCGAAAGCUGGGGAGCAAACGGGAUU
rnacentral:rRNA from 1 species